rnacentral:rRNA from 1 species
UACGGAGGGUGCAAGCGUUAUCCGGAUUCACUGGGUUUAAAGGGUGCGUAGGUGGGUUGGUAAGUCAGUGGUGAAAUCCCCGAGCUUAACUUGGGAACUGCCAUUGAUACUAUCAGUCUUGAAUACUGUGGAGGUUAGCGGAAUAUGUCAUGUAGCGGUGAAAUGCUUAGAUAUGACAUAGAACACCAAUUGCGAAGGCAGCUGGCUACACAAAUAUUGACACUGAGGCACGAAAGCGUGGGGAUCAAACAGG